AUUGAACGCUGGCGGAAUGCUUUACACAUGCAAGUCGAGCGGCAGCGCGGGGCAACCUGGCGGCGAGCGGCGAACGGGUGAGUAAUGUAUCGGAACGUACCCAGUCGUGGGGGAUAACACAGCGAAAGUUGUGCUAAUACCGCAUACGACCUGAGGGUGAAAGGGGGGGAUCGCAAGACCUCUCGCGAUUGGAGCGGCCGAUAUCGGAUUAGCUAGUUGGUGAGGUAAAGGCUCACCAAGGCGACGAUCCGUAGCGGGUCUGAGAGGACGACCCGCCACACUGGAACUGAGACACGGUCCAGACUCCUACGGGAGGCAGCAGUGGGGAAUUUUGGACAAUGGGGGCAACCCUGAUCCAGCCAUUCCGCGUGAGUGAAGAAGGCCUUCGGGUUGUAAAGCUCUUUCGGCAGGAACGAAACGGUUCAUCCUAAUACGGUGGGCUAAUGACGGUACCUGAAGAAGAAGCACCGGCUAACUACGUGCCAGCCGCCGCGGUAA
rnacentral:rRNA from 1 species